rnacentral:rRNA from 1 species
UACGGAGGGUGCAAGCGUUGUCCGGAUUUAUUGGGUUUAAAGGGUGCGUAGGCGGUUCGUUAAGUCCGGGGUGAAAGCCCACUGCUCAACAGUGGAACUGCCCUGGAAACUGGCGGACUUGAGUACAGACGAGGGCGGCGGAAUGGAUGGUGUAGCGGUGAAAUGCAUAGAUACCAUCCAGAACCCCGAUUGCGAAGGCAGCUGCCUAGACUGUAACUGACGCUGAGGCACGAAAGCGUGGGGAGCGAACAGG